GAAGAUUGGUGAUGCACAUCGCGUUAAUGAUAAUUUUUAUUGAAAUUGAACAAAAUCUUGUAUUGAAAUCAUUUACUACAUCAGAAUACGUGAUGAAAAGAUUGCCUCGGAUAGUUCUGUUGAUUUUAAAAUCAAGACAAACUGAGUCAACUAAUCAAGAAAAAGAAAACCUCAUGAUGUGGGUUGAAUUGCCAGGGACACCUAUGCUAAGACUUCAGGUCUUUAUACAGCUCAGUGGCCGGGUCUUUCUUGGCGAAAUAUUUGCAAAGUACACACGAAGCCCUCGCUCGCUCCGUAAAAAGUUCUCUUUCUCGGUACUUUUCAUUCGAAAAUUGUAAACUUAGUAGAGGACUUGCGAUUUUGGAUGCGAAAAGCUGGAUUUGGCGACUAGUGCGAGCUAUUUUAAGAAGCAGUAGAAGGACAGAAGUCCACAAUGCCCGGUAGAGGGUAGAAGAAGCAAUGCCAAUGGGAAACUCAAACACAAAUUUCAAUACAAGAAAGCCCUAACCAGGCCCUA